rnacentral:lncRNA from 1 species
AUCUUCAGAAGCUGCAACAUUUGGACUUGGGCUCAAACUACUUGGCUAGUCCAGACUGGUCUCUGUUUUCGGACAUGCCAAUUUUGACAUACCUCAGUUUAUACUACAAUGAGCUUGCUUCCGGAUUUCCAUUUUAUGUGAUAAAUUUAAGGAACUUAAUUUUUCUUGAUUUGUCGAGGAAUGAGUUGACAGGCUUACUGCCAAGAAAUAUUUCCAAGCUUUUCAAGUUAGAAGAACUUCGCCUAGGAAGGAAUAACUUCACAGGGCCAAUUCCUUCUUCAAUAGGUCAACUUAGGCAGCUUCAAAUUCUUGAUCUCAAAGAAAAUUAUCUGAACUCUAGUAUUCCUCCUGAGCUUGGCUUGUGCACCAAGCUCACCUUCUUGGCUCUGGCUGUGAAUUCUCUUACCGGGCCUUUGCCUUUGUCGUUUUCAAAUCUUACACAAAUUUCCCAACUCGACGUAUCAGACAAUUUUCUCUCUGGUGAGCUGUCACCACAUUUCAUCAGCAACUGGUCUCAGUUAACAGAACUAUACAUGAAAAAUAAUACCUUUACGGGUAAUAUUCCUCCUGAAAUUGGUAUGUUGACAAAUCUCACAUACCUGUAUCUGUAUAGUAAUAAAUUCAGAGGAAGAAUUCCCAGAGAGAUUGGAAAUUUGAAAGAGCUUCUGGAAUUAGACUUGUCAGGAAACCAUCUAGAAGGUUCAAUUCCAGCAACAAUAGGAAAGCUCACCAAAUUGGUGCUCUUACAGUUGUUCUCCAAUAAUCUUAGUGGAACUAUUCCACCUGAGAUUGGAAACUUGACACAGCUGGAAACUCUUGAUCUCCAAAGUUGUCAAUUUAAUGGAGAGCUGCCUGAUACAAUUGCGGAAUUAAGUCACUUGAACUUAAUUCAUCUUCACAAUAACAGGUUUUCUGGUAGCCUUCCGAAGGACUUUGGAAAAAAGAAUCUCAAUCUGUCCACUGUUAAUUUUUCGUUCAACAGAUUCUCCGGAAAAUUGCCAGAAGGAUUGUGCAGUAGUUUAACCCUUUCGUGGAUUACAGUAACUGCAAACAAUUUUUCAGGGGUCCUGCCAUCAUGCCUGAGAAAGUGCUCCACAUUGAGUAGAGUCCGUCUUGAUAAAAACCAGUUCUCUGGAAAUGUUUCUGAAGCAUUUGGUUUUCAUCCAUAUCUUGUUUUCAUAUCUCUGAGCGGCAAUAAAUUUACGGGUGAACUCUCCUCCAAGUGGGGAAAGUAUGAAAGUCUUGCAAACAUGGAAAUGUCACAGAACAAAAUUUCAGGUGCCAUCCCAGCUGAGCUUGGAAACUUAAAGAAUUUGCAAAUUUUGCAGCUGGAAUCGAAUGAGUUGACAGGUCAGAUUCCGAAUGAAAUGGGAAAUUUGAUCCAGUUGUUGAAAUUCAACUUGAGCCGUAAUCAUUUGACUGGAGACAUCCCUAAGAGUUUAGGCAAACUAUCAAAGCUCAACUAUUUUGAUUUGUCUUCAAACAAAUUGAAGGGAAGCAUACCGAAAGAUCUUGGGAAUUGUGAGAGCUUAUUGAGCCUGAACUUAAGCCAGAACAGUUUUUCAGAAGUAAUACCAUCUGAACUUGGCAAUUUGGUUCAGUUGCAAAUUACUUUGGACCUGAGUAGCAAUUCACUUUCAGGCACCAUUCCUUCUAAUUUGGCAAAACAGAAGGUUUUGCAAAAUUUAAAUCUUUCACACAAUCAGCUCUCAGGUAAAAUUUCCUCCUCCCUAUCUACGGGCAUGAUUAGUUUGGACACUAUUGAUUUAUCUUAUAAUAACUUGUCUGGCCCUAUACCCUUGUUCCCACACACAGUGGAAAAAGUUUUUAAUGGAAACCCUCUUCUGUGUGGAGAUGCUAAAGGAUUGUCCCCAUGUCCGGAUUUGUCUUUCAAAUCAUCGAAGUCCAGUAAAAAAUCAAUAAUUGGUGGCAGUGUUGCAGGGGUCAGUCUCUUAGUUUCUGGGACUAUUGUUAUUGUUGGAUGUUUAAUAUGUCAAAAAAAAAUCAAGAAACAUGAUUUAGAGGCGAUCAAUUCCAAGAACUUUAAGUCACUGAUUUGGGAAAGAGAAGGGAGGUUUACAUUUAGUGAUAUCGUGAGAGCCACUGAAGAUUUCAGUGAAAGGUACUGCAUUGGAAGAGGAGGAUUUGGAACUGUGUACAAGGCCAAACUGUUUAAUGGUGAGACUGUUGCAGUAAAAAGGCUGAAUAUAACAGACUCCAGCAGUGCUACAGAAAAUAAUCGAUGGAGCUUUGAGAAUGAAAUUCAAGCACUGACAGAAGUUAGGCACCGCAAUAUUAUCAAACUCCAUGGAUUCUGUUCCAUAGACAAUUACCUUUACUUGGCAUAUGAAUUUGUCGAGAGAGGUAGCUUGAGCAAGUUAUUGUAUAGUCCUGAGGCUGCCUCUGCUUUAAAUUGGGAUACAAGAGUGAAAAUUGUUAUAGGAUUGGCUCAUGCACUUUCUUACCUGCAUCAUGACUGCUCUCCACCUAUUGUGCAUAGGGACGUAUCACUGAAUAACAUUUUGCUGGAGACAGAAUUGGAGCCGCGGCUCUCAGAUUUUGGCACUGCAAGAUUGUUGAGUACAGACUCAUCAAACUUGACUAAGCCUGCAGGGUCUUAUGGCUACAUGGCACCAGGUGCAUCUUUUUCAUCUCAUUAUAAUUCACGUCAGUACCAACCAUUUCUUUACGCUUUUCUUUUGAGACGUCCCAUCCAAUUCUAUAAAUUUCAAAACUUAUCAAACAUACUCAAAUUUUACUAAUAUAAAAAUCAACUGCUCUCACUACUUUUCUCCAUUAUACAUACUUUUUAUAUACUAUUAAAUAUCAACUGGUCCCACCACUAUCCUCACUUUUCUUACUUUACUUAUUUUCUUAACUUUCGUGCCCAGACCAAAUGUAAACAUUUGGGUGUAAUAACAUGCAUGCAUGUUUUGUUUCAUGUGUAGAACUAUCCUUUUGUAUGCUUAUGACAACAAAAUCAGAUGUUUAUAGCUUCGGAGUGGUGGGAUUGGAGGUAAUGAUGGGAAGACACCCUGCGGAGCUCCUUUCGACGACUUUGGCCACUGAUCAGGACUUGAUCAUGAAGGAUAUAACACUUGACAACCGGCUUCCACCUCCAAAAGACAAAAUAGCAGAGGAAGUGAAAGUGGUUCUUAAUGCAUUGCUAGCUUGCACACUUUAUGCACCAGGGUCACGACCUACUAUGCGUUUUGUGGCGCAACAACUGACAAGGACUCAGACUUGCGGAGCACUAAGUGUUCAGCUGCAUGAUAAGGCUUAGAGGUGUUGAUUAAGCUUUGGGAUAGAAAAAAAAUAAGGCUAUAACAGAGUGUGAUGCACAAUUUCUCUUUUCAUUUGUACUCACUAUAUAUAGGUUUUUGAUCCAGUAACAUGUAUCAAAAUAUUGUUUUAUAUUUUAUAAUAGAUGUUACUUCCUCGAUCCCCCCUUUUACUUGUAUAUUUUGACUUUUGAUCAGUUAAAUUGACUAUAUUUUGACUAAAGUUUACAUGUAUCGUAUAAUUAAGAAAAAUAAUAAAAAUUAUAUCAUUAGGAAGUAUAUUUAGUCUAUUUUAAUAUGCAACUUUCAAAUUUUAAAAAUUGUAAUUUGUAAUGUUUAGUCAAAAAUUGGUCACUUUGACUCUUCGAAAAACAAAAUAUACAUGUAAAAGAGGAGGAGGGAGUAAUUUAUGGAAUAUACUUUGUGGUAAGCUGAAAAACAUUUCAUAAGAGAUUAAAACAGAGUAAGAUGGAUGCAUUAAAUAGUCGCCGUCCUUGCCAAAUUUUUGAUCGUGAUGUUCAUAUACAAGUUUGAUUUUUUUUUUUUUUAUAGAGUAGAUUUUUAUUAAAAUCAAAUAUCCGACAAGAGUGUCGCCAACACACAAGAUGGAGGAGACAAUAAAUCAGUGAAGCUAUUUAACGUGCAAGAUAUGCGAGUCAGAACAUGCGCAACCUUGUUAGCUUGCGAUCUUCUUAGUAUCUACCUACAUUUUGUUUAAUUUUUCUUCUUCUUUCAUGACUUUGUUGUAAUUUUGGUUGCGAUUAAAAAUGGAACAUAUAACACAUAAAUAUGUAUUUGUUCCCACGAUUCGAUCUUGUUAGUAUCUACCUACAUUUUGUUUAAUUUUUCUUCUUCUUUCAUGACUUUGUUAUAAUUUUGGUUGCGAUUGAAAAUGGAACAUAUAAGACAUAAAUAUGUAUUUUCAUGAAUGAAAAGAAUCUUUUAAAAUAUUAAUUGAAUACACCCCAUUUAGUGUCAUGAAAUCUCCGUCCGAUUCAUUUAUAUAUAGUUUUUUUCACAGAGUGUGUUUCUAUAAAAUAUAGUUUUAUAAUUUUUUAAUUUUUGAAUAAAAAUUUAAAUACUAAAUUUUUAUGACAUUAGAUAAUUUUAUGAAACUAUAUUCUAGUGUCAAAAUGCGUGUCUUCCAAGCAUAUACAAAUCAAUGAAAUGGAGGGAGUACUAAUUUAUGAAACUAUAUAUCACUUGGAAGGGAUAUCAAAAGUUUAAAGAAAUGGUCAGGACUUUCUAUUAAUUUUCCCAUGAUAACACAAAGUGGUCGAAAUUCGAGAUCCGGGAACGGUGAGUGAUUUUUCCAUGUUCAGAAAAUCUAAAGUGAGAAGUCGUUGCUUUUGUAAUGUCAACAUCAGAAGUUUCUGAACGGUGCUUAAUAAAUCAAUGUUUGUAAUGACAUAAAGAUCUAUAAAGCAGAAUUUUCGUUGAUUUUUGACAUGUUCAGAAAUUGCUCCGUUACUUCACUUAUGACGACUGACUGUAAAGUCAAGCUAGUGUAAUGUUAUUUCCACAAAGAAAUAAUUUACAUUUUUGGCCUAACAUUAGGUACACUACUAUAAAUCCCAGAAAAUCUUACUUCCUCCGUCCCACCCAUUUCUUAUUAAAUGGGUUGGGCACGGAGGUUAAGGAAUAUGUAUAAAGUAGUGGAAAAGAGGAAGAAAAGUGAGUAAAGUGGUGGGACUCAUUGAUUUUUAAUGUAUAAAAAGAAGAUAGUGGAGUAAAAGUAGUGUGAAAAAGAAAGAAAAGUGGAGAAGUGGUGGGACCAUUGACUAUUUUUGGUAAGUUUUGAAAUGUAAAAAAUUGGAUGAGACAUCCCAAAAAGGAAAGGGUAAAGAAUUGGGUGAGACGGAGGGAGUACUAGAUUCCAACCAAAUAUAAACCAACACUAAUGGCCUUACUUCACAGUCCACUAGUUUUUUCACUGCUGAGUGUUCUUUUCAUCUCAGUAGUUCCACAAAUUCUAACAUCAUCACCAAGAACUGAGGCAGAAGCACUUGUCAAAUGGAAGAGCAGUUUAUUACCAGCUGCUUCCCUCAGUUCUUGGUCCUCAAGCCAUCUCGAAAACCUUUGUAACUGGACUGGCAUUACCUGCAAUUCUGCAGGAACAGUUUCGAAGCUCAAUGUUUCUGGUCAAGACCUUAAUGGAACACUUGCUCACUUCAGUUUCAGUUCAUUUCCGAACCUCAGUGCUUUGGACAUGAGUCACAACUUGCUGUCAGAUGUUAUACCGGGAGGGAUUGGAGACCUGGCAGAGCUUCAGUACUUGAGCUUUUACGACAAUUAUAUAAAUGGUACCAUUCCUUACCAAAUUAGUCAUCUUCAGAAGCUGCAACAUUUGGACUUGGGGUCAAAGUAUUUGGCUAGUCCAGACUGGUCUCUGUUUUCGGACAUGCCAAUUUCAAACUCUCAUAAACUACGUAGGAGGAGCACUACAUAUAAAGAUAUAGACACAUAUUAAAUUACCAUUAUAUUGCAAACUACCACUAUAUUUUAAUAAUGGUAAAAAUAAUGACAUAGUGUUAAUAAUCAAAUCCGAACCUAACGUUUCUGUCCAAAAAAAAAUAAUCCGAACCUAGUGACAAAAAAAAUCCGAACCUGCCCGCAAGGGUUGGUUCAGCUGGUUAAAGAGAGGACAUGUAUCCUCUUGGUCACAGGUUCGACUCCCGAAGGGAGCAGAAUUUGUGAUUAUGCAUCCUGGAUCAGAGUCUGUCGCGCUUAGGUGCGGUUUACCUGGUUUACCUUGGACAUGUAUCCUCUUGGUCACAGGUUCGACUCCCGAAGGGAGCAGAAUUUGUGAUUAUGCCUCCUGGAUGGUUUACCUUGGUUCACGUAGUUUGCAGGCUAUUGCGUGAGCUCGUGGGUUUAUCCAGUGCGCACCCGAAGGGUAGCGGCUGCGGGUUCCUACGUUAAAAAAAAAUAAAAAAAUCCGAACCUAUCAUUAAUGACAAAAAAGAAAAAAAUUAUAGUUCAGUGGUAGGAUUCUAAAUAAAUAAUAAGUUGGAUGGUAAAAAAAAUAAUCUAUUUUCUCAUUAUAUAAUAUACAUAAAUUAUUAAUCAGUCAAUAGGAUCUCAGAGAAGUAUGAAACCUAAUUGAUAUGAUACAAUAACAAAUUUAAUAUUUGCUCUUUAUUAUUUGCUCUCUAUUAUUUCAACAGUUAAUAUCAAUACAACCAAAAACAUGUAAACUCAAUACAAAUGGGAAGAGAAAAAUGCAAUAUUUAAUAUAUCUUAACCAACACCGAAGUAAUUAACUGGCUCUGUGUGAAAUGAUGAUCCAUUUUGUGUCAUAAAUCGAUUUCUAUCCUUCGAGCUAGGAUCUUGUAAAUCAUGACUUAUGGGCCAUUAUUAAUUAUAGGUGCACCGUCAUGAUCUCUUGGUCCAGGGCCAGGCCCGGGUCGAGAAGGAGGAUGUCUGUCACCUGGAUCUCUCGCAGCUUUCCCUGUAGAUAAAAACGUUCAAAAUUGGAUUAAACAAUUAUCAUGCAAUCUCUAUGUUUAUAGGCUGAAAUGUUCGGAUUUUUUUUUUUUUUUUUGACAAAUAUGAUCUAUAGCCUAGGAAAUUUUCGGGGUGAGCGAGGUGGAACCCAGGACUUGGGACGACAAAGGAUAAGCUCUUAACCACUGAGUUAUUGAUCAUUAUAUACUUUUACAUAUUUGCAGUAUAGUUAUUGGAAGUUAAUAAGAUCGCGAUGUCUUAUUAAUUAAUUGUAUUUAUCUUUUCAUAUUUCACAAAGAUGUAAAAAAUUUAAUAUUUUAAUGUUAUAUUUUAAAGUGUUAUCUUUUAGUAAUAAACAAAUACAAAUUUUUAUCUAAUAAUUAAUAUAAAAUUAAGUAAAAGUAUUUUUAAUACACUUUAAACUCAUGCAAGAGAAAUUUAUAAAAUAUUAAAGUGAUUAAGGAAAAGUUUUAAGAUAAAAAAAAUACAAUGAUAGGAGACAAACCUGCAACUGCAUGGCUUAAAACGAACUGCAGUAUAAUAACGAUCAUUAUAAUAAAAUAAAUAAAUCUUGCCCAAGAGAAUGAAGCCAUGUAUACCAGUAUAAGCUGAUAUCUUGAUUAGAUCCAUUGAUUUAUGCGUCUAUUUAUAAACAAUUGUAUAUAAGCUUUUUCCAUCUUCACGCGAACUUGAAUGGAACGUACCUGGUAACUACCAUUAUUGACUUUCGUCGCCUUUUUAUAUUUAGUCGCACAAGUAAACACUUCAACACUUCAAAACUUAUUAAUUAAGUAUAUUAAAAUUUUAUAAUAAAUUCAACCACCCACUCCUUUUCGAUUCAAAAUCUAAACAUAGUAAAAUUUUACAAUAUAAAAUUCUUCUAACCCCAUAAUAUUUUACACUAAAUAUAUAAUUAUUUUAUUCAUUAAAUAUUAAACGGUGCCACCGUUAUCCUCUCUUUUAUUAUUCUUUCAUCAUUUUUUACUUACCUUUUCACCUUUCAUAUACUCAACCCAAAUGUAAACAUUUAAAUGAGACUGAGGCGUAUCAUUUAUCAUUUUAAUCACUUAAGUUCUACCCCAACUUUUAUAUAUAUAUAUAUAUAUACAUAUUAAAAAGUAAUACAAAGAAGACGAUGAACAUAUCACCUAAAUUCUUCCCUCAUUAAUUCUUCCAGCCGGAAAUUGUGAAUAAUUUCAAAAAACGCCCUUUAAGGUUCCUGCAUAAGAGCAUCUCCAACCAUAUGAAACCAUUAGCUAAACAUCAUAAAUAAAUAUCAUAAAUAAAAAAUAUAGAGAAUAUGUUAAAAAAAAUAUGAACUCUAAUGGGACAUUCCUCCUUGUCUAUAAAUAUAGUCAACCUGAUGAGGUUGACUAUAUUUGUCGAACCUCUGCAGACCUAUAGGCAUCUGUAAAAUGAUUCAGCAUCAUUCAUUAACAUAUUAACAUAUUGAAAUGAUAUAUUCUAUUUAUAACAAUCAAGUUAUUAAUAACAUACUAAUUUUAAAAUAUAGCCAAUACCAUUUAAGCAAAUUUUAUAUAACGUGGUCUAAUUUAGCCAACCACUUUUAGCCAACAUCAUUGAAAAUGCUCUAAUGUAUGUUCUUUCUGCAUAAUAAGCUUAUUGUCAAAAAAUAUGCUAUUUCUGUCAAAAAAGUAUGCUAUUUCUGUGACCAAAUCCAAAACACAACAUGAAUCACAUUCUGUAUAUAAUAGUACAUUGAACUCUGAAUCCGUACAAGUUUGUAUUUUAGCCGGGGAAUUCCAGCUCCCUCAUGUUUGCAUAAAUAUUUGACGAUGAGUAAUCAAGACUUGUCGAUACAUAUGUUAUAAUUGGAAACCAGAAAUCAGAUACUUUGAUCCCUAAAAUUAGGGUAAAAAAGUUCCAUGGAAAAUAGUGUCAUUAACAUCUCAGUCUCAUUGAUUUAUAUACAAUUUUUCACAAGGACUUUAAUAAAAUAUAAUAUUAUAGUUUAUUUUUUAAAUUUUUUUGAUAAAAUUUAAAAAUUACUCAUUCCGUCCUAUUCAAUUGUAUACAUUGUUUUUACUGCUUGACAUGUAUUUAAAAAUUCUUAUAAAAUAUAGUUCUAUAACUUAUUUUUAAAAUUUUCUUUUUUCAUAGAAAUAUAAAUGUUAUAUUAUUAUACUGAAAAAGAAAAUCUUGAAAAUAAGUUGCAGAACUAUACUUUAUUGAAGCAUUAAAAUUUGUGCCGUGUCCCUACCCCCAAUGUAUAUUGGCCGGGAUGAAGGGAAUACAUUUUUAUUUAAAAGAAAAAUAUAAAAUAAUUUAUGAAACUAUAUUCGAGUGUUAAAAUAUCUGCAAAGUCCUCACUCCCAAGAGUAUACAACUCAAUGAGACGAGGGAGUACUAAUUUACUGAACUAUAUUUUGAUUGAUGUUUAAUGUAUAAAAUAAUAUAGUGGAAAGUAGUAGAGCAUUUGAUUUUUAUACUAUAUAAUAUUUUUAUAUUUGGUAAAGUUUGAAAGUGUAAAAAAUCAGGAAGAAUAUCAAAGUUUAAAAAAAUGGCCGGGAACUUCUAUUAAUUUUUCUAGGUGAUAAUGAAAAGUGGUCGAAAUUCGAGAACGGUGUGUGAUUUUUCCAUGUUUGGAAAUUUGAAGCGAGAAAUCGUUGCUUUUGUAAUGCCAGAAGUUUCUGAACGAGUGUUUAAUAAAUCAAUGUUUGUAAUGAUACAAAGAGCAAUAAAGCAGAAUUUUUGUUGAUUUUUGAUUUGAAAAGUAGACGCAAGAAAUUGCUCUGUUAGUUCCUAUAUGAAGACUGACUGUAGAGUCAAGCUAGUGUCAUGUUAUUUUCACAAAGAAUAAUUUAUAUUUGUGGCCUAACAUUAGGUACACUAAAAAAAAUUUAAAUUUGGAGCAGUGCCCAAACUACUCCAAUCGUGGACUAAAAAGUGAUCCAAAUUUGGAUCAGUCAAUAGUACUGGUCCAAAUUUGGAUCACUACUAUCCAAAAUUUUAUAACAUUAAAAUAUUAUUACUUUUAUUAUUUGAUGAUUUUGUUAAUAUUAUUAAAAAUAGAUUAAUUAAGAUUGGAAUAUAAAUAAAACAACGAUUAAUUAUAAAUUAAAAUUUCAAAAUAAAUAAAAUUUCAAAAUACAUAAAAUUUCAACAAUUUAUCAAUCACUACAGAAAAAUCAAAAACAAAUAUUUUUUCAUCUUGAACUUCGAAAUGCACUAAUUGAGCAUUUGUAAGAAAAAUAAACUAAUUCUGAGAAUUAAUAUUUUAAAGUAAUAUUUUAAUAUUUUUAAUUUAUUUUUAUGUACCGUUUUAACUUUUUCGAAUUAUUUUGUAAUAUUUUUUCUUUGUCUAUUUGUUAAUUAUAUUAUUAUAAUUAAUGAUGAAAUUAGUUAAUCAUUUUUUAAAAUAUUUAAAAUCAAAGUAUAUAAAUAUUAUAAGGAUGGAUGAAUUUGGAUCUAUAUUUGGAUGGAUUAGAAUAGGAUUUGGAUCCCGCCCCAACCUUCAUGUUCUUUUCAUCUCAGUAGUUCCACAAAUUCUAACAUCAUCACCAAAAACUGAGGCAGAAGCUCUUGUCAAAUGGAAGAGCAGUUUAUUACCAUCUGCUUCUCUCAGUUCUUGGUCCUCAAGCCAUCUCGAAAACCUUUGUAACUGGACUGGCAUUACCUUCAAUCCUGCAGGAACAGUUUCGAAGCUCAAUGUUUUCUGGUCAGGACCUUAAUGUGGAACACUUGCUCACAUCAGUUUCAGUUCAUUUCCGAACCUUAGUUCUCCAUCUCCCGGUUUCCAACCUCAACACAGGAUUACCCUUGAGAUCAACUGUUCCAUCUUUAGUGUACUCAUCCCCACUCUUCUUGCCAUUCUCUUCAACUUUUUCCAUCGUCAUUUCACCUUAAACUCUAUUGACCAUCCAGAUUAAGAAACCAGUUCCUCAAUGCAGAUACUUUUCGCCGAAAUGCAGGAUAAUUACUGAAUCUUGUGGCAUUGUUAAACUGUAUUAUUUAUUAAAAUUUCACAAAGAAGUGAGUUCUUAUAUCUAAAUCUGACCCUCUUAGAUAUUCAUGUUGGUAAAAGAACAAAAACAUGAAUCCAAUUUAUUCAUGAGUAUGGUCGCCACUUCUUAGUUUUUUCUAGUAAUUUACAGAUGCAGCUGCUUAUAUAUUAGUUAUCAUCAAUUGUUUAAGUAUAAUAAAUCUCUGCCACAACAAGACUUAUAUAUGACAUGUGUUAUAUCGUAUAUUUUUCAUGUUAUUUUUUUUUUAACAAUCAAUACUUUUAUAAAUUUUCACUAGAAUUCAAAAUGAUAAUAAACACUUCCUCGGUCCAAAAGAUUCUUUACAUUAUUUUCUCACACUUAUUUUGAGAAAGUAUAGUUUGAUAAUAUAUUUUUAAAAUUUUAUUUCUUGAAUAAAAAUUUGACAGAAUCUCAAAAUCCAUGCAACGGAACUUAAAAACAACUUGUGGAGUAUAAUAUGUUGACAUGGCUUAUGCAUGCAAGUCGAAUAUCCUUGAACGGGGAUAGCCGACCAACUCAUAUCAUAACUUAUAAGUUAUAAACUAAGAAUCGACUUAGAAAAUAUGGUGAAGAAAACAACUAUAAUGUCUGCCUGCGUCUUGUCACGGUGGAUUAAUUUUUUAUUUCUCCUAAUAACACCCUGCAUGUUUGGUUGUCCAUGCUUCCCGCUUCUUUUAUUAAUUAGAAGUCGGUUUAUAAUUUUUUUUACCCGUUUUCGGUUAAAGUCAAAAAAAAUAAUUAUAAAAUGAGAACUCUAUCUUUUGUCUCGGGUCUUUUCACUUUUUCUCGAAAUACUUUAAUCACUUACAUGUUUUGACUUACUUUUCAGAUUCAUUUUUUUAUUUUAAAAAUGAAGUCAUUUUUUUUUUUUAAUUUUAGCCAAAAGGUCCUAUUAUUUUCGGCUCUACAAAACUCCCAACUAAAAGUUUACAUAACAUGUCAGAAUUUUUUUAUAAAUAAUAUCUAUAAAUUUUAUCAAUCCGUUACCAAACUCUUGUCUAUUAAUAGAGAGACUCUUUUUUUGCAGGGGGUGCAUAUUUAUGCUUCGGUCACCGGUAUAAUUAUAUCAAUACAAUUUCUAUAAUAUACAAAUUUUAUUAAUCAGCCAAUAUGAUCUUAGGGAAGUAUAAAACCUAAUGGAUCGAUAUGAUACAGUGACAACUUUAAUCCUUGCUCUUUAUUAUUUCAAACAGUUAACAUCAAUACAACAAAAAAUAAGUAAACUCAAUCCAUAUGGCACGAGAAAAAAAUACAUAUUAAAUAUAUUUUAACCAACACUUGAGUAAUUAAUUGGCUCAGUCGAAAUGAUGUUCCAUUUGUAUCUAUCCUCCAAGCUAGGAUGUUGUAAACCAUGAUUUGAAAACUUACUGUAUAUAUAGUAAAAUUUAUAAUUUAAAAUUCAACCAAUCACACUAGAUACUUUUCAAUUCAAAUUUACUUAUAGUACAAUUUUAUAAAUUUAUAAAAUUUAACUAACUCCACAAUUUUUUUUCACUAUGUAUACUCAUUUUAUAUAUGUCGAAUGUCCCAUCAUUGUUCUUACUUUUUGAAUGGGACCGAAGAGUAUCAUUCAUCACUUUAAUCAUAGAAAGAAUAUGAUGAAACUAUAAAUUAUAAUGAGAACAUAUAUCCUAAAUUCUUCCCCGAUUCUUCGGGCCGGAAAUUGUGAAUAAAUUUAAAAGAGGUUCAAGGUUCCUGCAUAAUGCAUGUUUUUUCUGCAUAAUAAUCUUAUUGUCAAAAGUACGCUAUUUCUGUGACCAAAUCCAAAACAAACAUGAAUCACAUUCAUGUACAGUACAUUGAACUCUGAAUUCAUAUAAGUUUUUGUUUUAGCGGGGGAACUCUAACUCCCUCGUGUUUGCGUAAAUAUGGUUAAAGUGACUGGUUAAAUACGACCGGUCUCAAAUAUGACUAUUAGCUACUCCUCUGUCCCACCAGUUGUUGACGUUACUUUUUGACACAGCAUUUUAAGACUCCUGUAAAGUAUACUUACAUUAUAUAUUUAAUUUUAAAUAAAAUCCUGAAAAAAAGUUUGACGUUUAAACUUAUAUUCAAAAAAAGAAAAAACUUAAAAAUACGUUAUUAAACUAUACUUUAUAAGAGUCUCAAAAUACGUGCAAACAGUGAACGUAAACUACCUGAUGUGACCGAGGGAGUAUAUCAUAAUUAAGGUCAAAUCAAGAAAUGUAUAAGUCAAAAGUAAAUAUGGCCAAAUAAAUUUGACUGUCGUUAAAUAUGACUGAUAAAGUUAUAUCAAAUGGCGUUUAUAUUUAUCUAGUCAUAUUUAUAAAAUAGGACCCACAAAAUUUAGGAGGCAAAACUUUCCUCUAGUAAAAUUUAUGACGACGUCGCUAUAUUUGACUAGAAUCGGUCAAUAAUAAAGUCGGUCAUAUUUUUUUUUUGAACGAGAAAUUUCCCGCAUAAUAUUUCAGAAUCUCUGAAAGCUAGGUAUGACCGAUUUUGAUCGCAUUUAUUAAUUGGACCAACUGUGGUCAUGUUUACAAGUUUGACAAGAACCAAUCAUAUUUUAUAUUCGACCGACUUUAAUCGUAAUUAGUAAUAUGAUCAUACACGGUCAUAUUUAUAAGUGUGGCAAUAUGUACUAAAGUGUUGGUACAUAAAUAUGUUAUAACUGGAAAACAGAAACCAGAUACUUGAUCCCCAAAAUUAGGAUAAAAACAAUUUCGUGGAAUGUAAAAAAAUAUAAACUUAGGAGGGUGUAUUCAACGGAGAUUUUAAUGGAUUGUUUUUAAUUAUUAAAUUUUAAUGGAUGACAUUUGAUUUUGAUUUUGAUUUUAUGCGAAUUCUUGAUAAAAUGUCUUAGAGUUGAUAUAUAUAUUGUUUAGGAUUUAAACACCAUGCUUAGAAAUAUCAUGGAUUGUGCAAGUACGAGUAUAAAUGUUCCCCCAUGCAGACCAGGCCUAAUGGUCUCAAGUGGAUGACCUGGUUCCUUCUGACGCCUAAUACCCCGAGAUAGAUGAUGGCUGAAAUGAUGAAAGUCCAGUACCGGCCGAGAUGAGCAUCGGCUAUGUAGGCACCCAGAAUGGGGGUAAGCCAGACGGUGCCAACCCAGUUGGUGACAUUGUUUCAAGAUUUUACAGUUCCUUCAUGCAGCUUCUUUGAUAGAUACAACACCAGAUUUGUCGAGAUUCCAUAAAACGCCAUCCUCUCAAAUGCUUCAUAUGCUACAAAUCGUUAUCGAAAUUAAACAUAGUGAUAAAACAUUUAUCUUUUGUCGUAGCAAGCUAAAACUUAACUUUUCACUAUACUUUUAAAUACUUUGUAAUCAUUUUAUAACAUGUUUGACUUUUUUCACAUAUUUUCACCACAUACGUCCAUGUAAGUAGUAUUUUUGGAUGAACAUAAAAAAUAAAAUCAUAUAAUUUUUUUCACUGAUAAGUGAAUAAGCAACAUGUUUUUUAUUAAAAUAUAAUAUGAUUCUGAUAAACCUUCCUCUCAACAUCUUGAGAUUUUAAUUUAACAUGAUAUGAGAACUCAGUGAGAUAUAAUAUGAUUAUUGGUUAAGACAUACUCCCAACAACUCGAGGUUUUCUCAGAAGAUUUGGUCAGUUAACAGUUUUGACAUACCUAUAAUGAAAUAAGUAGCUCUCCAUCUCGCUGUUUUCUAUCUCAGCACAGGAUUACCCUUGAGAUCAACUGUUCCAUCUUCAGUGUACUCUUCUUCCCUUUCUCUUCAACUACUUUUUCUCCAUUGUCAUUUCCACCUUAAACUUUAUAAACCAUCCAGAUAUUUAAGUCAGUUCCUUAAUGCAGAUACUUUCUGCCGAAAUGCGGGAUAAAUAUUACUGAAUCUUGUAGCAUUGUUAAACUGUAUUUAUCAUAGUUUCACAAUGAAGUGAGUUCUUAUAUCUGAAUCUGACCCUCUUAGAUAUUCAUGUUGGUAAAAGAACAAAAACAUGUAUCCAAUUUAUUCAUGAAUAUAGUCGCCACUUCUUAGUUUUUUCUAGUAAUUUACAGAUGCAGCUGCUUAUAUAUAUAUUAGUUAUCAUCAAUUGUUUAAGUUAUAAGUAUAAAGAAUAUCUGCGACAACAAGGCUUAUUAUAUGGCAUGUGUUAUAUAUGGUGAAGAAAACAACUAUAAUUGUCUGCCUGCAUGUUGUGAUCGUGGACUAACCCCUUACUUUACUAAGAUUAUCUCCGACAUGCAAAAUUCAUAUCUAAAAAUCUAAGUGACUUGUCAAAAAUAAAUUUUAGAGAUAAUAUGUAUAAAUUUCAGGAGUACUAAAAAAAUCUUGUCUAUAAUAUAAGUACAAAAAGUUGAAAAACAUUUUCUAGGAUGUCAUAUUUCUUUUUCGGAAAGUGCACCUUCAUACUUCGGUCACUGGUAUUAUAUACGAUUUAUAUAGUAAUACAUAAAUUUAUUAAUCAGUUGAUAUGACCUUAGAGAGAAGUAUAAAACCUAGCUAAUUUAUGGUACAAUACAGUAACAAUUUUAUUCCUUGCUCUUUAUUAUUUCAGCCGUUAAUAUCAAUACAACCAAAAAUAAGUAAACUCAAUACAAAUGGGAAGAGAAAAUGCAAUAUUUAAAAUAUUUUAAUCAACACAUAAUUAACUAAUGGAUCAGUCGAAACGAUGAUCCGUUUUGUAUUAUAAAUUGAUUUCUAUAUAUGCUUCGAGGAUCUUGUAAACCAUGAUUUAUGAGUUAUUAAUCAUUAUUAGCUGCAUGGGGAGCUCUUCCUCCUCCACGGCUACGCCCGGGUCGAGAAGGAGGAUGUCUGUCAUCUUUAUCUUUAUCUAUCUGAUCAGCUGCAGAUAAAAACAAGGAUUAAAUCAUUAUUAUUAAUGUAUUUUAUAAGUUUGAAAUGUUCGAAACCAAUUAUAAUUAGUUAUAUUACCUACAUUUUCAUUUAUCCCACUAUAUACAACACAAAUUUAAUCACUAUAUAUUUAACAUGAUUCGAUUGCAAACAAACAUUAUUAGAUUUUAUAUUUAACAAAACAUAUCAUGUCUUUUAUUAGAAUUCAAUUGGAUUAAUUCUCAAAUUGUCUUAAUGAAUGAUUUAUGACUACAAAAAGAAGUCAUACGAUACAAUGAAAAUAUAAUAUUGUAUAUAAGUUUUUUUAAGGAUAUGCUUAUCUAAACAACAAGCCCUACUUAUGUAAACAAGAAGCUCCAGGGUGUUUGUUUAUUAAAUUAUAAAAAUAGAAGAAAAUGAAUGCAAUUCCUUUUGAUUUGUAUUUGAUUAGUAGUCUGUAUAUAUAUCGCAAUAUUUUCUUGUUGCAUAUUAUAUAUUUUUUAAUAUUUGUAUUAUAGUUAUUGGAAGUUGAUAAGAUCACGAUGUAUUAUUAAUUAAUUUUAUUUAUCUUCUUAUUAGCAAACAUAUAUCAAAAAGAAUAUUUUAAUAUUACUUUUAAAAUUUUAUCUUUAAUAAGAAAAUGGAUACAAACUUUUAUAUUCAAGAUACUAAUAUAAAAUGAAGUAGAACAAUUUUUUAAUACACUUAAAAUACAUAUACAAUUUUUAAAAAAUAUUUAGAAAGUAAAAAUAAAUAUUUUUGGAGGAAAAAAAUAUAAUAACAAGAGACAAACCUGCUUGUGAGAAAACGAGCUGCAGUAUAAUAACAGCCACUGUGAUAAAAUAAAUAAAUCUUGCCCUAGAGAAUGAAGCCAUGUAUACCGGUACUAGCUGAUAUAUAUCUUUAUUACAUCCAUUGAUUUAUGCGUCUAUUUAUAAACAAUUGUAUAUAAGCUUUGAUCUCCCAUGCGAACUUGAGCACGUACCUGGUAGCUACCAAUAUUAUUGACUUAUGUCCGCCUUUUGAUAAUGAAGGGGAGAACAAUAUAUUGGUAUUAACAGUGUUGUAAAAAGUGUAAAUCGGAUUUAAUCGGUGAAGUCACGGAACAAAGAUUAAUCGGGGAGUAAUUAAAUAGAUCGGAGAUUAAUCGGAUUGAUCGGUGAUUAAUCGGAGAAUUAAUCAGUUCGAUGAGUUAUGCAACAAGAAUUAAUCGGUGACUAAUCGUGAUUAAUCACCGAUUUUUAGAAUAGAAAGUAUUAAUAUUAAAACCGUAUACCACCAUCAAUUUUUUAGUGGCAAUUUCCAUGGUAAAAGUAACGUCAUUAUUUUUUUUACCGAAAGUAAUAUUUUUAUAAUGUAAAUGGGUUAGACCGUCUAGAAAAAAAACUUGCACCUAUAAAACGCAAGAGAAACAAUAUUGUUAACUUUCAUGGAAGGUGUGAUAACUUACAUUAAAAACAUAAAAUUUAACUGUUGCUAGGUUUCAUGUAUGAAGAUGAAGCUUGAUAAAGAUUUUCGUGCACUAUAAUGAGACUCGCUAUGAGCAGUUGGGCCUUCUUAGAGAUCAUCGUCUUCUUCAAUUUGAUCUUCAGGUUCAGAUUUUCUGUGUUGGAGCCUUGGAGGGCUUGAAGCGAACAACAUCCAUUUACUAUUAUCUAUGUUUAUAUUGAACAGUACAAGACAAUAUCUACCUAACAAGCUGAUUGAUUUUGAUACGAUUAUGAUCUAGUUUCAGCAUCAUUUUUGUUUUCAUGAAUCACUGUUCAGCUCGGUUUCUCUUCUGUAUUCAAAAAAGUGACAUAUUAUUACUCAAACUAUAAUAUUUAACAAAUUGAGCACUACUCCCUCCGUCCCAAUGAAUUAUAUACGUUGGGACCGGACACGGAGACCAAGAAAAAGUGUAAGAAAUGAGUAAAGUUAGAUGGAAAGUGGGUAAAGUGGUGGGACCCAAAUAGAUUUGAGAUAGUGGAGUAAGGUAGUGGGUGUAAUAGUGUUUUUAUAUAUUAUUAUAUAAUGGAGAUAGUGGGAGAAUGUAGUGUGUGUAGUAGUGUUUUAUAUUAUAAAAAGUUGCUAUUUUGGGAAUGUAUAGAAAUGAUGGGACAUUCCAAAAAGGAAACUGUAUAGAAUUGAUUGGGACGGAGGGAGUAUUUGAUAGCCGAAGUGAUGGGUAUAUUGGAUUCGACUUUGGAUCAUCCCAAUAAUAUUAGAACAACUACUAAUUUGUAAGAUAUAUAAGUCUAAAUCAUCAUAAGAAUUAUAUUAUAAAUAGACGCAAAAAUAUUUAGGCUUCAAAAUUUGUACUAGUUCAUGAGCUUCUAAACUCAAAUAAUAUUUUUAAUAUAUUUAUGUGUUCGAGAGUUAUAUAUUGCAUAAUUAUUAAUUACUUACACAAUCCCAUUCUAGUUAUAAUUUUUUUUAUGUGAAAUAGUUAUAAUUGUUAAAUAUUCAACAUCGAUGUUUCUAACAUACGUCAAAAUAAUACUAUGAAUGUAAAUUAAUAUUGAACAAUUAUGAUAAUUAAAUUUAUUUGAUAUAUAGUUAAAAGUUUUUCAUAUAUAGUUGGAGUUGCUCUUAUAGGUUAAACGAAAAUAUUAUAAAUUAUCAGGUCCAAUUUAGUCAACUAAUUUUAACAAAUCUUAUUGGACAUGUUCUAAUAAAAUUAGAUUUUAAAAAGAUAUGAGUGUUACAACAAAUGCCUAUAAAUAGGAUGAAUGUCAAUAUUCUCUCAUUCUCGUCUUAUCUCGACCAAAAUAUCAGUGUACAUAAAAUGUGACCAAAAUAACGACUCUGAUGCGCAAUCUGCAAAUGUGUGUAUGGGACACGCAUAAAUGAGAUGCGUGCAUGUUCUUAGUUUGUAACAACACGCAUACACACUGUGCGUAUGUAUUAAUGUUUCAGAUUUGUUUUGUCGUAUACGCAUGUUUUAUAAUAAAAAAAUUAAGGCAAUGUGGUAAUUAGUAUAUGUGUGUAAAAGGAGAUCUGGAGAUUUGUUUACCCACAUGUAUAACCAUUAUUGGAAGACGAUGUUAGAGUGAAUGAAUGGAGAGGAUGAAUAACUCAGAUUCAAGAGGGGCAAAACAAGGCAGAGACGUGCAAAAAGCAAAAGAACCUGAAUUUGAUACACACAUAUCGAUUAUGCGAGUUUGAUAUGAUAUUAAAGGCACUUGUAUCGAAAAGUGAUAUUUUGGACACCACAUAUUAAAAAUUCUGUUAAAGUGGGCAUUUUCUCCUAUAAAUAAUAGUAUAUAGGAGAAAAUCUAAUACAAUGUAAAAUAAAAGAACAUAAAAAUUUUUGUUGACGAGGCUUAUUGAAAUCCAUGGUUUCAUUAACCCAAAUAGCUCAAUUAAAUAAAUGAUCAAAAACUGCAUGGGCAUGAUGUAGGCCAUAUCUAGCUCAUUUAAUAAACACACUUUCUUUUCCCGAAUUGUGUUUCAGAAUUUAAACUACCUGAAUGUAGAACAGAGUACUGAUAUUUGAUCAGAGAUGCAUCAUCUCGGAGAACAGAACAAAAAGUACUUAAAGAUCAUCUCUGAGAUUUUAUUUAUUAUAUUAAUCAAUAAUCAGUUAAAUUCUACCCCAAUCCUUACGGCAGAAAAACUGUGAAUAUCUAUUAUAAAAUAUAAUAUAAAGAGCAUGAAAAAACCAUAAUGAGAACAUAUCACUUAAAUCUUCCAUGAUUCUUCCAGCCCAAAAUUGUGGAUAGAUUUCAAAAAGCUUUUAGGUUCCUGCAGAAUGCUUUUUUCUGCCUAAUAAGCUUAUUGUCAAAAGUAAGCUAUUCAUGUGACCAAAUCCACAAUUACAAGUGAGUAUAAAUUGUAAGCUGUUAGAGUCGAACCAGGAUCUGGGAGGACAAAGGAUAAGCUGUCAGGAUUGGGACGACAGAAGAUAAGAUAUUAACCACCUAAGCUAUCCGACCGUGCUCAACCCUGAAUCUAUAUAAGUUUGUAUGUUUGUGUAAAUAUUUGACAAUGAGUAUUCAAGACUUGCUGAUUCUUAAAUAUGUUAUAACUGGAAACCCGAAAUCAGAUACUUGAUCCCUAAAAUUAGGGUAAAACAAUUUCCUGGAAUGUAAAAAAAUAUAAAUCUUUGUGUCACUAAAAUAUACUCCCUCCUUCCACUCAUUUAUAAAAAAUUCAAACAAUAAAUUUAUAUUUGGAAAAUAAAAUAAAACAAUAGCUGAAAUUAUAUUCUAGCGUUAAAAUGCGUGCCAACCCUGCGUACCAAGUUUAUACAACUCAAUUCAAUGAGACAGGGGGAACGCUAAUUUUACUAGGGUAGUUGAUUUUUAUGUCAAACGAUAUUUGGUACAUUUUGAAAUGUAAAAAAGGAGGAAAGAAAUGGUUGAUAUUGGUAGUAAUAAAUUUUUCUUCGUGAUAAUGAAAUAUGGUCGAAAUUCGAGAUUUCGGAACGGUGUGUGAUUUUUCCAUGUUAUCGUUGCUUUUGUAAUGUCAACAUUCUUGAGUGCUUAAUAAAUCAAUGUUUGUAAUGAUACAAAGAGCUAUAAAGCAGAAUUUUUGUUGAUUUUUGAUAUGAACAUGUGCCACAAAGUAGACACAAGAAAUUGCUCUGUUAGUUCACUGAUGAAGACUCACUGUAGAGUCAAGCUAGUGUAAUUGGUACUUCCGCAAAGAAAUAAUUUAUAUUUGUGGCCUAACAUUAGGCACACUACUAUAAAUCUCCCAAGAGAUCUUACUAGAUUCCAACCAAAUAUAAAAACACUAAUGGCCAGCUUACUUCAUAAUCCACUUGUUUUUCUACUGCUGCAUGUUCUUUUGAUCAUCUCAGUAGCUCCACAAAAAAUAACACCAUCACUAAGAACUGAGGCAGAAGCUCUUGUCAAAUGGAAGAGCAGUUUAUUACCAUCUGCUUCUCUCAGUUCCUGGUCCUCAAGCAGUCUCGAAAACCUUUGUAACUGGACUGGCAUUACCUGCAAUUCUGCAGGAACAGUUUCGAAGCUCAAUGUUUCUGGUCAAGACCUUAAUGGAACACUUGCUCACUUCAGUUUUGGUUCAUUUCCGAACCUCAGUUCUUUGGACAUGAGUCACAACCUGCUGUCAGACGUUAUACCGGGAGGGAUUGGAGACCUGGCAGAGCUUCAGUACUUGAGCUUUUACGACAAUUAUAUAAAUGGUACCAUUCCUUACCAAAUUAGUCAUCUUCAGAAGCUGCAACAUUUGGACUUGGGCUCAAAUUACUUGGCUAGUCCAGACUGGUCUCUGUUUUCGGACAUGCCAAUUUUGACAUACCUCAGCUUAUACUACAAUGAGCUUGCUUCCGGAUUUCCAUUUUAUGUGAUAAAUUUAAGGAACUUAAUUUUUCUUGAUUUGUCGAGGAAUGAGUUGACAGGCUUACUGCCA